GUGUGUGUGUGUGUGUGUGUAAGAGAGAGCGAGAGAGAGAGAGAGAAAGAGAGAGAGAGAGAGAGUGAGCCUGAGCUUGUGCACCGGUUUGCUGGCCGCUACGGAUGUGUGAUGCUGUAGUGGUCAGUAUCGGUUAUCCAUGGCGGAUUUAGCUCUCAUACUGAGCAGUGGGAUGGAGACAUGACUGGGGAAACAAGAGGAAAGGACCACGAUCUCUUCCUAAGAGACGCGCUUUAGCCAGGUUGAGGAGGAGCAGAAGGAGGGCGAGCUCUUCCCGGCAAUCUCAGGUUGCAGCUGCAGGUUUAAACGGACCGCAUGCUCAGCACUGGCAGUCUCACUAUGAGAGUCUCCUGAUUCUGAUCCAAGCAAAUUUCUGCAGAACGUCUGCACUGGGCGGCUUGCGUCUUGAAUCCACAGUUCGGCGGUAACGGGGCGGUUUCUAUGCGCCACUGAGUUUGGUGAAGGUGAUGGAGAAGCCGGUCCAAGCCCAGUUGCAGUCAGGUGCAGCCAAAAGCUCGGAAAGCUGUACGGAGGAUUUAUCCAAAGUCACAGACCAGGAGCUCCUGAAGUGGAGUAAAGAUGAUCUGGUGCGGCGGUUGCGCAAAGCAGAGGCCGAGAAGAUGAGCGCCAUAGUGGAACACGGAAACCUGAUCCGAGAGGUGAACCGCAGGCUCCAGCAGCACCUGAAUGAGAUCCGGGGUCUGAAGGAGGUGAAUCAGAAACUUCAAGAGGAUAACCAGGAGUUGCGUGACCUUUGCUGCUUCUUGGACGAUGACCGGCAGAAGGGGAAGAAGGUGUCAAGGGAGUGGCAACGCCUUGGCCGCUACAGUGCAGGCAUUAUGCGUAAAGAGGUGACCCUGUACCUGCAGAAGUUAAAGGAGUUGGAGCAGAGGCAGGAGGAGGUGCUGAAAGAAAACCUGGAACUGAGAGAGCUGUGUCUCUUGCUGGAUGAGGAAAAGGGCUCUGGAAGCACAGGGGUCUCACUGAGCACUGGAGGUCCAGCAGGCUGCAGGAACUCUAUCGACAGCCAGAGCAGCCUGUUACAUGCCAGCGUGCCUGGGCCAGGGCUGCUGAGGGACGUUGGAGAUGGGAGUAGCACUUCCAGUGCAGGAAGCACAGACAGCCCUGAUCAUCUGACACACAAGCAGCAGCUGCUGGCUGGUCCAGCCGGAGGCAGUCUUGAGCAUGUCCACAAGCCCCGGGCAGUGGAGGAGAUGCCAGUUCCAGAGCAUCUCAGCCGCAGAAGGAGCACAAGUCCGGAGUAUGCUGCCCAUACCUUUCCUCAAGUGUGCCGUCCUCGCUGUGGCUCAUUCUCUAGUCCUGACCACAAGGGCAUGAGAGGUCUCAGCCCCGAAAAGCUUGGCAAAAGAGGUGGUCCAGAGCAGUUUUUAAAGCACUUGCCAGUGUCUUCUCAGCCUCCUGGUAGCCCUGACCUCUUUCAGAAGCACAGGACAAGCAUCGGGAGUCUAUGUGGCAGUCCAGAGCCUAAACAGAUACUUUCAGGGACUCCUGAACAUCUGCAGAAGGGUCGUGUGAUUGCAGGAAGCCCUGAGAUGCUAAGGCACCAAUACAGUGGCAGUCCAGAUCAUGGCAAAUUAGGCAGCCCUGGGAGGGAUGUGGCACAAAGGAGGUCAGGAGCAGAGGAGCUGUCUCCACAUCACCGGAGCAUCUACAGUGGUAUGAAUGGUGGGUCUGACUGGAGCCUGCUGUAGCACCCACACAUGGAGGCCCGUUUCAGUACACUACAUACUCACGAUGGAGCAAAUCAGUUUCACAAUAUAUUGCUCUAUAGCCAGGCGUUAAGUCAUCUUAUUAAUUAUGCAAUGGUCUGCAUUUAGUUUUUGCAUUUAGUUUUGCCCACUCAGCUCACACGGGGGCCUUGAGGAGAUAGAGCAGGGCUGGUAAAGGUCGGUGGUGUCCAGUCAUGGUUCUCAAGUGCCAUGGCUGGUAAAGGUCGGUGGUGUCCAGUCAUGGUUCUCAAGUGCCAUCAUUUGAACAGGCUUUAGCUGCUACCUGUGCUAAUAUUUCUUGGAAGCCUUUUAUGCACUGGAGCUCAACUGAGGGAACUCUAAGAAAUUAUACUACAUAAAGUACAGAGGCACAACAAAAACCUGAGGACAAUACAACCCAGCAGGACCAGGAGUGGACACCACUGUUUUUGCCAUAUGUUUCCAGCUCUGCUGUCUGCUGGCUGCUGCACCACCACCACCUGUAGAAGUGUCAAGCUUUGGGACAGUUUUGAUGCCUCCUGACCAUUGCCUUGACUGGAUCCAUUGCUGGGUUCCUGACAUAUAGGAGUCCAGAUUUCUGCUGUCUUUUGCACUGGGAGAGAGAGUGCACAAUAUUGUGGAGCAGCCAGUGUCUUGUGUCUUUUCCACCCCAUGCUGGUUUCAGGUGUCCUGUUUCCCCUGUUAGAGCUCUGCACAACAACAACAACAAUAACAACAACAACAACAACAACAACAAUAACAACAAUAACAGCCAAAAAAGGGGAAAAGGGGUUUCAUUAGAAGAAAGAAGGCUAGAACUCUUUAACAAGAAUUAUGUAAUGGGAGAUGAACGAUUCUCCCUAUGUUGCCAACAAAGUAGACCUACCUCCUUGAAAUAAAAGCAGAUGAAAUUGAGCAUAAACUCAAAUGGGAUUCAGAGGCUAACACCUUUCCUGUUUACAGAUGCCAUACACAACUUCAUAUGAACAAUAAAGAAGUAUUUCUAAUUGGCUAAACUAGUAAAUUGAAUUGGACUUGCUGUGUGUCACCGGAAAUUAAAAACAAAAGUAUUAUCAUAGCAAUCACUGCCUUGCUUUCGUUAAGAGCUUUGUGGCAGCCAUAAGAUCAUUAUUACAACAAUACAAGUCAAAUUUAUAGACGUGGAAAUUGUACAAAUGAAACAUUGCUCUUAUCUGUCAUCAACCAGUGACUGCUAAUGAACCAUGUGGUAGAUGAAGUGUGGAACAAAUACAAUGAUUUUUUUUUUAAGCACAAAGUCAACCUUAAAUGACUCCCUCCCCUCUCAUUCAAUAUACAUGGACCAUUCCAGAGGGGUGAAUAUUCCAGCAAAUAUUCUGAAAUAUAAAAAUAAAAAAAAGAAACAACAACAAAGCAACAAACAAAAAAAAAUACAGUCUCCCACUCUUUCCAUACUAAGUACCAUCAUGCCUUGCUUCUGCCCAGGUGUUUCUGUGAACUUCUGCUCUGAUAGACAAUAGAACAAAUGCACACACAUAAACACACAUAUAAACACACAACAAACAUAUGCACAUUAUAUUUUAUAUGGGAAUAUUGCUUCAUGUGGGAGAACUGGACAGCACACAGUUGUAUACUUAAGUAAGUGAUUUUGGUAGCCCUUUAUUUAUUAGGCCUAGAUCACAAGUCCUGUGUGCCAACCAUUGAUCCUUCAGUAUAAAUCAGUAUUACAUACAGUACAAGCUACUUUGUAACCUCUUUGACCUGUGAUCUUUUUUAUUUUUGUUGACAGAUUAUAUCAGACAGAAACGAUAUUAAUAUAUAAAACUUUUAUGUUUUUAAAAAGUAAAGAGUAGUUUAUCUGCUUAGUUUUUUAAAUAUGAUGAUUAUUAUUUUUGACGUACUGG